rnacentral:tRNA from 1 species
GGCUCCAUAGCUUGGAGGAAAGAAGCGCCUGUUUAUCAAAUUGGGAGUCGUGGGUUCGAUUCCCACCAGAGCGC